UCAGAACGAACGCUGGCGGCAGGCUUAACACAUGCAAGUCGAGCGCCCCGCAAGGGGAGCGGCAGACGGGUGAGUAACGCGUGGGAACGUACCCUUUACUACGGAAUAACCCAGGGAAACUUGGANUAAUACCGUAUGAGCCCUUCGGGGGAAAGAUUUAUCGGUAAAGGAUCGGCCCGCGUUGGAUUAGCUAGUUGGUGGGGUAAAGGCCUACCAAGGNGACGAUCCAUAGCUGGUCUGAGAGGAUGAUCAGCCACAUUGGGACUGAGACACGGCCCAAACUCCUACGGGAGGCAGCAGUGGGGAAUAUUGGACAAUGGGCGCAAGCCUGAUCCAGCCAUGCCGCGUGAGUGAUGAAGGCCCUAGGGUUGUAAAGCUCUUUCACCGGUGAAGAUAAUGACGGUAACCGAGAGA
rnacentral:rRNA from 1 species